rnacentral:misc_RNA from 1 species
UGAAAAUACGAAAGGGAAAAGGGAGGUAAAUCAGUUUGUGUAAUGAUGCAUGCAUAGGAAUUCACUGAAGUAGACUGAUUCUCGUAAAGAUCAUCAGUUAAGUUUCAGGUAAAUCAUCAUAGAUAGGACAGUAAUUAGGAAGCAUAUUGCAUUGGAACUGCAUCAGGACAGUCGUUUCAACCAGUUGCUUUGAAAGGCUCACAUAUUUAAUUAGGAACAUGGGCUCGUGAUAGUUAGAGAGAUGUUAUUUGGAUAGAAAAGAACAGAAAGUUAUAACUCUCCAACUGACUUGAAGAAGUAUAUAAGACAUGAACCUUAAUGGUGCUCUAUGAUGGAAAGGAAAGACUUGGAUAAUAUGAAAGGUCUACGGGAUAGGAUAUCAUAGCUACAGAGGUCGAUUACUUUUAAAGAGGGUAGCAAAUAAAAAUACAAGCAAGGAGUAUGAAUACGCUAUCAACAGACUAGAGAUAUACUUUCAUUCGUAUUAAUUGGUAUUAAAUGUCUACAUGUAUAUGGAUUAUUUUACCGCUGACAGAUACUGUCUGAAUUAGAUUAAAACCUAUUAUUAUUUGAUCAGUAGAGGAUGAAACACUACACUACAGAGGAGGAUAAGUGACCAUGAAGCUACACAUCAAUCUUAUCAAUAUCUUUAUUCUGCUACUCCUGGAAUUGAGUGCCACAGUUGGGAAAAAGCAUAGGAAACAAGAGCGUGAAAGAGGAAUUAGAAUCAGGGGAGAAUGGAUAGCUGGUUAUGACAAACGAGAGUCCCCACAUGGAGAUCUUGCAACUCAAGUAAAGAUAGGAAUCUACAUAAACAGUUUCUAUUCAAUAAGUGAACAAACGAUGGAUUACUCAGUCAACAUAUAUCUCAGGCAAUCCUGGUAUGAUCCCCGCAUAAAGUUUGGAAAGGGUGACCCAAGCGAUAAAACUGAGAUGACCAAAUUACCAGAUGGUACAUGGGAUGAAAUAUGGGUACCAGAUCUUUUUUUCCGAAAUGAGAAAAAGGCUGAAUUUCAUUCAGUGACAAUACCAAACAGACUAAUGAGACUUUAUAUGGAUGGAAGAAUAUGGUAUGCAAUGAAGAUUACAACUACAUUAUCAUGUCCUAUGAAUCUGAUAAAAUACCCUAUGGAUACUCAAUUCUGCCCGUUAAUGAUUGAGAGCUUUGGCUAUACAAUGGACACAAUAUAUUUCAAUUGGUGGGACAAAGCUGUGGCGCACGACGGUACAUUGGAAAUGCCACAGUUCAGACUGGUGGAGGCUCAUCUAAAAGAUUGUAGUCAAAACUAUUCUACAGGAGCCUAUCCAUGCCUACAAGUCAACUUUGAGCUAAAACGUGACAUUGGUUUCUACUUGAUCCAGAUUUAUAUCCCCAGUAUACUUAUAGUUAUAUUAUCCUGGGUCGCAUUCUGGAUAAACAUUGAUGCAAUCCCAGCCCGUGUCUCAUUAGGACUGCUAACUGUGCUCACAAUGACUACCCAGUCUACUGGGGCCACUAGUUCCCUGCCCAGGGUAUCUUAUGUCAAAGCGAUAGAUGUUUGGAUGUCUGUGUGUUUACUCUUUGUAUUCACUAGUCUACUUGAAUUUGCUGUUGUUAAUGUACUGUCUAGAAAAGAAGUGAAAAGUAUUCGCCCAAACAUGAUACGAAGAAAAGUGAGCAAGAACAAAAAAGACUCAGAAGCUGGCGAGGUUAUUGAAACGAUGCCACAUGACUCAAGUAUAAGAAACAAUACAGCUAUAAUGCCUGAUUUAGAGGGAAAACACAAGGCUAGGACAAUAGACAAAAUAUCACGCCGUGUUUUCCCUAUAUCUUUUCUCAUAUUUAAUGUAGUCUAUUGGAUAAUUUAUGCAUUAAUCAUGGGUGAUAAUAGACCACCUGAUAUAUAAGUACUUGGGGAGAAGGUAAAUAUAUCGAUGUACAUGAUUAUCAAACUCCAUCCCCCAAUUAAAAUUGGGGGAUGGCUAUCAGUACACUGAUCUUCAAACAGAAGAAUCUUUAGAUUUGAAAAAUCAAAAAAGAAUUAAAUUUCCUUUUUAGGGGUAGGGUAAAUUGGGGAUG